AAAAUGGUUCUGUGCAUGUCAUUAUUUGUAAUUUUUAUCCAGCAAUAGAGGAUUUAAGUCAAAGGCCGUACAAGAAAGGCAAUUCAUGUGAAGAAUGCGAGAAUAAGGAUAAAUGUGAUUUUAAUUUAUGUGUGCCAAAAAAUUUCGAAAUAUCGAAUGAAACUGCUUUUUGUACACAAAGCGUAGGCCUACAAUCAGAAAGUGAAGAAAACAUUGCCCACAAAAUUUCAUCUAAAUUUUUUCUGUUGUUAAUUAUUGGAGUAUUACAAAAUUAUUUCUUCGUUGGAACACCUUAAUGUUCAAACUUUGUUACUUUCGAGUGAUUUAUAUGAUUCAUUUUCAAAAUUGUAUAAAAAAUUUUAAUAUUGAA